rnacentral:lncRNA from 1 species
AUUGUUGUAAGCAAAGGGCAUCACUGAACAAUUCUGAAUCCCAAAAAGGAUGAAAACUUUGAGCGAAAAAAGAACAAUGAGAUAAGAAAUUGAGAAAGAAAAGAAAAAGGGUAAUCGUGGCAGACGACAAAAACACCAUUUUGGCUGAAUUGCAUUUGUUAAUAUUAAUUUUUAUAUCAAACGGUUAUUAUUAAUCUGUUUUUCCAAGUUU